ensembl:snRNA U6 U6 spliceosomal RNA
GUGCUCACUUUGGCAGCACACAUACUAAAAUUGGAGCAAUGCAGAGAUUAGCAUGGCCCCUGGGCAAGGAUAACAUGGAAAUUCGUGAAGCCUUCUCUAAGAAA